rnacentral:lncRNA from 1 species
GUUAAUUUAGGUGAUUAAUCACAGCUGGCUUUUGUGUCUUGCGGGGCUUCUGAUGUCCCGGGCAACGUCUGGCACCUGGACCUUUUUAGAUUGUAAGGAUUUUAUAUUUAGUUUCUUUAUGACGGGCCACAGUGGGCGUAAUUCUCCCGUCACUCUCGUAAACAGGUAAGUAUGUUUAGGUUAUAGUUAGGUUGUUAAGAGUUUAGAGAUUAUGUUUUUAUUCCCAGCCUGUUAGAGACACAAGAGGCAUCAGCAGAGGAUGAAGACUUCUAUCAAUCAAAACUAUGUAAGUAAAGCUUCUCGUUUACACAGAAAGACACUGAUCACAUGUUUAAUGUAUAAAUAGACGUCAUGUUUUACUAACGCCUGUAAAAUGUCGGAGAGGAACGCCAACAUCCACUGAUGGAGGAGGAGAAGAAAGAUGGAGGACGGGAGCACCAGCAUCUACCAAUGGAGGAGAAUAAAUACUUUUAUUAACCAAAACAAUAAUCCACUGAUGGAGAACAAGGAAGAUGGAAGACUACCAUCAUCUACCAAUGGACGAGCAGGAGAAAAAUGGGGGAGCACCAGCAUCCAAGUGUCCCAUAAUCAGCCACAGGAGGAGAUAUCAGCAGGAGAGGAGAAGAAAGACUUCUGUCAAUCAACCAAAAACAAUGUAAGUAAAGCCUCUUGUUUGAACACACAUUUAAUAUAAAAAUAGAUGUUAAUUACUGUACUAGUGUCUGUAAAACGUCUUGUGUGUGAUUACAGAUUCACUUCAGAGGAGAAUCAGACUGUUCCAGAUGUUCAUCACCACAGCACAGAAUGAGACAGCAGUAGUAGUAGUAGUGUUUACUCUGACUGCUUUCAUUUCAACUAUAAAUAAAUAAAAAAUAAUAUCUUAAGAAAUCA